AUACUUACCUGGACGGGGUCGACGGCUGAUUAAGAAGAGUCGUGGCCUAGGCUAGUGGUCCACAUUGCACUUGGUGGAUGCGCUGGCUUAUCAUCUCCCCAAGUGGGAGAGUGGACGUCGUAAUUUGUGGUAGAGGGGCUACGCGUUCGUGCAGCCCCU
rnacentral:snRNA from 1 species